rnacentral:tRNA from 1 species
GCCACCAUAAAAGGACGGCGGCCUCUGGAGCCGUAAACGCCAGUUCGAAUCUGGCUGGAGCUA